GUGCUCUCCAUGAUUGACUUUUGUGGGGUUGCCGUUGGUGAAGUGGAUGACUGUGAAAGAAUCAUACUCGGACGUUGUGGAUACAGAAAAGCAAAGACACGGGGACGGCGUCAUCGUGGCUGAAAUGAAGUGGCAUGGUGCAUGGGGAGGACUGAGUAUUGGGAUUUCACAUAAAAAUCCAUAUUGACCGUGGCAGAAACUUUAACUCAGCAUUGUUGUUUUCCCCCCUUUUAUUUAAACUUUCCCUGGGGAAAAAAUUAUAUUACUUAGAAUUAGUUGCCCAUGCCAGCAAAGUCGGUGGUGAGCUCACCAUUAAGAGGGACACAAAUGUUGCAGUUUGUCCCUCCCAGCGUGGGAUGGGUAAGUCCUCCCAGUGAGUGACACUUACCCUAAAGUGCAUAGUGUCAACGGCUAACUUUCAGCAGGACAGAUAAAACACAACGGCCUGGUUUUUAUCAUCCCUUCAGGGCUCAGGGACCAGAGAUACUAACCAUUACAAGGACAGCACUGAGACUGGCCAACAGUCCUUUGCUGCACAGGAGAGUAGCUCUCCGAUUAGCUGUAGCGAAAUCUCAAAGAUCACCGGUCAACUCAGAGAGGAACCCCUUUGAGACAUAUGCAGCUCCAGUGGGACUGGGGACAGGCAGUCGGCCAGCUUCGAGGGUAAACAUAUAAUCAUCCCUCGGACGGCUAUAAUUAUAUCCGGGACGUGAAGGAACAGAAGGGAGUGCAAGGGGAGGAAGCCAUGCAGGCAGGCAGUGUGCAAGAGGAAACAGCAGAGGGAGCACCCCCCCAAUCCACAUCGACGGGACAGCAGUGGAGUAGGUGGAAAGUUUUAAGUUCCUCGGAGUACACAUCACGGACAAA
rnacentral:lncRNA from 1 species